rnacentral:rRNA from 1 species
UCUUUUUGAAUAAUAAUUUAAAGUAGGGCCUGCCCACUGAGUAUUUGAAGGGCCGCAGUAUAUUGACUGUGCAAAGGUAGCAUAAUCAUUAGUUUUUUAAUUGAAAGCUAGAAUGAAGGGUUUGAUGAGAAAAUAACUUUCUAUAAUUGAAUUUUAAAAACUUUAUUUUUAAGUAAAAAAGCUUAAAUUUUUAUAAUAGACGAGAAGACCCUAUAGAGUUUUAUUUUUUAUAGAAUUUAAUUUUUUAGAAUUUAAAUAUUUUUAUUUUAUGAAAAAUUUGAUUGGGGUGAUUAAAAAAUUAAAGAAACUUUUUUAUUAUAAUUACAUUAAUUUAUGAAAAUUUGAUCCAUUAAAAUGAUUAUAAGAUUAAAUUACCUUAGGGAUAACAGCGUUAUUUUUUUUUAGAGUUCUAAUCGAAAAAAAAGAUUGCGACCUCGAUGUUGGAUUAAAGUUAAUUUUAGGUGCAGAAGCUUAAAUAUUUGGUCUGUUCGACCAUUAAAACUUUACA